UUGACACUGCAUUAUAUUUGCAGAUCGAAAAUUUACAACACCAUUAGGCUCGCAAAGUGUCAAUAAUAAAUAUGAAAUAAGGAGAAGUGGUAUGAUUGCGAAUGAGAGUCAGACAACUAUCCACUAGAGAACAAAUAACGUAGAAUUGUUUUAAGCCUAUUUUUGAUAACUUAAGAUAUAUUCAAUCAGCCCCCUCUAAAUCAGAACCCUAUCUUUUGAAGUUAUAAUCUGUGUAAAGAGAAAAUAAAAGGUGAAAAAGAUUGCAUUUUUAAUGAUUGAAUAGUAAAAUGUGUAAUGAGCG
rnacentral:lncRNA from 1 species